rnacentral:lncRNA from 1 species
GACACAGCUCUGCAUGAAGCAGCUUAUCCAUGCUUUCCGAUCUCUUGUCUUUUUUUUUUCUCCCUUUCUCCCUCCCUUGCUCUGUCUCUCAUUCAUUCCCUCUCCCAUCUUUUGGCCAUCGAGCCAGAUAAAUUUAAAUUUAUUGGGCUCCGAAUCUGUCCGAGUGGAGUUAAUCCAUGCAAAUCAGAAGCCCUGGCUGUCCAUGCUUGAUUCACAAAGAGGACUCAGCUACAGGAGGUCACUGGUUCCCAGCUGCUCCUCCCAUUAUAUUUUCUUCCCCCCCUUAUUGCAGAACUGCUAUAUGUAUACAGGGACUGAAAGGAUCCAAUUUACUGCAACUGCUGCCUGGCUUUUACUUACAACUUUGUUUGAAGGAACUUACCUUCCAUCUGUCUUUGCAAGGUGACAAAUCAUUUACUUUCUCUGAACAUCUCAUCUGGUCCUAAGGAACAUGAAGCCUACUAGACCCAGGCACUGCUGUCAGCUGCUGCUGGACUGGAGAUGCUGCUAGAAUGCC